rnacentral:misc_RNA from 1 species
UUUCCGUAGGUGAACCUGCGGAAGGAUCAUUCAUAAUAAGUGUUUUAUGGCACUUUUUUAAAUCCAUAUCCACCUUGUGUGCAAUGUCAGGGUUGGUCUCUCCUGAUCAGCCCCAAACAUCAACUAUUAUCUCAACUCUUUGUCUGAAAAAUAUUAUGAAUAAAACAAUUCAAAAUACAACUUUCAACAACGGAUCUCUUGGCUCUC